GAGAGUGUGUGUGUGAGAGAGAGAGCAUAUACAGAUAAGGGGAUGGUUUGAACUUUAUUCUCUUCAAGUUGUCUUACUUUGUUGUUUCAGAAAACGAGGCUUUGUUUCUUUCUCUCCUUCCUUGUUUAUAUAUUUAGCCUACAUUAUCUUGUGCUAAACUUAAAAGUGAUUUUUGUCUCUCUGUUGUCUUACUUCCUUUUUCUUCUCCUACUCUAUACUGCAAUCCGUGUGUAAAUUCUACUAUAAUCAUUAGUGAUUUUGCCGACAAAAAUAUAAUCUUUGGUUCAUUUACAAAACAACAAUUAAUCAGAAACUGAAGUAGCACUAAGAAAGACUUUUCAGAUGUUGAUUUUAUUUGGAUCACUCUUAAUAUUUCUAAUUCAGAAUUAUUUGGAAGAGGAGGAAGGGAAGAAAUAGUGACAGAGGGUGCAUGAAGGAACAGUGAGAAAAUGAGGGAUGAGUAUUCCAAGAAAAGCAAGCUGUCAUGGUCAAGAAAAUUAGUUGAGAAAUGGUUCAAUAUUAAGGGCAAAACUGAGGAAUUCCAGUCUGAUGAAUCUGUCCGUGGAGGAAGUUAUGAGCGGAGAACAAGCAUAUCCGACUGGGAUCACUGCACAAUGAAGAAGAUUAAAACAGAAAAAUCAACCAGGGGUAUGGAGCAUCCCCCAUGGGGAAGUGUCGAUCUUGAUCGUCCUCAGAUUAUAAGUGUACAAAAUUAUAGAGUCUUUGUCUCUACAUGGAAUGUGGGCGGAGAAUCACCACCGAGCAAUUUGAAUCUAGAUGAAUGGCUUCAUUCCUCACCCCCUGCAGAUAUUUAUGUACUCGGAUUUCAGGAAAUAGUUCCGCUAAAUGCUGGUAAUAUUCUGGGAGUUGAAGACAAUGGCCCCGCCAAAAAGUGGAUGGCUUUGAUCGGGAAGACAUUAAACAGCGGUCCUGGUACUAGUGGAGGUAAUGGUUGCUACACUUCUCCUGUUCCAGAUCCAAUUGCCGAGUGGAAUGCUGACUUUGAGGGGUCAAAAAGACACAAGGCAUCGUCCUUCUUUCAUCGUCGUUCAUUCCAGACUCCUCAAUGCGGGAUCAUGGAAAAUGAUCCAUCCAUCUUGCAACCUCGCAUGGAUGGACGAUACAGUGUUUGUGAUCGAGUAAUUCUUGGUCAUAGGUCUAGUGAUUUUGAUCCUAAUAUUAGGUGGGAGCAGAGGCAAAGCGACUAUACUUCUGCUCACUGGCCAAGUGAUUAUUCAUCUUGUCACAGGCCAAGCGAUUAUUCAUCUGGCCAUAGGCUUAGUGACUAUUCCUGCGGACAGAGGCCAAGUGAUUUCUCCAAAUGGGGCUCGUCAGAUGAUGAUUAUGGACCUGCAGAUUCACCAACUGCUUCGUUUUCACCUGUGACAAAUGGAGUGUACGCUCCUAUGGAAGACGGUUAUAGAAUGCCCAAAAAUUCAACCUACUGUUUAGCAGCAAGUAAACAAAUGGUUGGCAUUUUUCUCACUGUAUGGAUGCGGAGUGAUCUUAGGGAACAUGUUGGGAAUAUGAAAAUAUCAUGUGUUGGCAGAGGGUUGAUGGGUUACCUUAGGAAUAAGGGAUCUAUUUCAAUCAGUAUGCAGUUGCAUCAGACAAGCUUUUGCUUUGUUUGCUCUCACUUAACCUCUGGUCAAAAAAAGGGUGAUGAGUUGCGCAGAAAUUCUGAUGUCAUGGAGAUCCUAAAGAAAACGAGGUUUCUGCAAGUUAGUGGUGCAGGUGAAGAGAAAUCACCAUCACCAGAGACUAUUCUUGAACACGACCGGGUUAUUUGGCUUGGGGAUUUGAACUAUCGGAUUGCACUUUCUUAUCAUUCUGCAAAAGCACUUGUUGAGAUGCAAAACUGGAGAGCAUUGUUGGGAAAUGACCAGCUGAGGAUAGAACAAAGACGUGGUCGAGUUUUUGUGGGAUGGAAAGAAGGAAAGAUAUAUUUCCCACCAACAUAUAAAUAUUCUAGGAAUUCAGAUAAGUAUGCUGGGGAAGACAUUCAACCAAAGGAGAAGCGUCGAACGCCUGCAUGGUGUGAUCGGAUUCUGUGGCAUGGAAGGGGUUUCCAACAGUUGUCUUAUGUGCGUGGGGAAUCAAGAUUUUCAGAUCAUAGAGCCGUUUUCAGUAUUUUUUGGGUUGAAGUUGAGUCAGUACGCAAUAGAUUGAGGAAAAUGAGUUGUUCAAGCUCAAGAAUUGAGGUGGAGGAGCUCUUGCCCUAUGCACAUGGUUAUACCGAACUCUGUUUCUUCUGAAGUAGAAUGAGGACAUAAAGCCUCAGUAUUCGGUAGAUACUCUAAUUUUUGUAAUUAUGCUAUUCAUUUGGUGAGACAAGUUAUCUGCUUCCUAAUAACUAUCAACUAAACUACACAAGCGUGGAGCUCGGUGGCUUGGUUUGGAGUCCUUUGGUGAGAUUGUGGCCAGCCAUGCAAGAGACAUGGCGUAUCAACACGCUGGAAAUCUGAGCUCAUGAGCUGUGGUUUUGAGUCUACUUUCUUUUGGAUACUAAGUCAGUAUUUUUUUGGGGGGCAAUUAUAACAGGAUGAACUUAACCAACGGUUAGAAGGAUUUCCAAGUGGGAAAAUGAUAGUUCUGUUCCGAGAUUCUUUAUUAUAGUUAGGUAGAGAAAUUCAAUGACGCGAAGAGAAUGUGACAUGGUGCAAAUUAAUCAUGUUUCAAUGAAGAAAAGGCAGAGAUCUGAUCAUGUGUUGAAUGCUGUAUACUCAAUUACAAUGUACAGGAAGAUAUCCUGUUGCUUGCUUUUCUUUCUCAUCUGUGGAUGUUAAAUACAGUAAUAAAAAGUAGUAGUAAUAGACAGAUUUACAAGGA